rfam:Crassostrea gigas strain 05x7-T-G4-1.051#20 contig7781, whole genome shotgun sequence.
UAAAAGGGCCUUUGUCGUGAGUGGCACAUGGAGUCUGUGAGGAUUCCGUGCGGAAUCGCUAUCAAGAGAUUUCGGAGGCACAAUUUAUGUCACACGGUGGCAGUUGGUGCUCAAUUCGGCCCGGCGCCCCA